GGAUAUUUUAGUAGUAGCCUUUAAGCUGUAACGGGUCGUAGUCUCAUGUCACAAGCGAACCGAACUGGCUCCGACCGUUCUUGAGGUAGAAAAACACAAGAGAUAGUGUCCCUGACCCUUGAGCCAGUGGUUAUAGGGCCUAUUUUUCUUAAGCCUCAUGUGUGACUGCAGUAGACGAAUGUUACAGGAGUAUUAUUCUAAACUGGACUAGAGUGAACCUUCGGUGGAAAGGUGGACAGCUUGAGUGUCCCAAUGGUUCACGAGAAACUAUAGUCUAGAGUACAAACUUGUUCUUGUUGUUAAAACUGACAAACAUUAAACUCAUUUUAGUUACAUUAUCUAAUUCUCGAGUUGAUUACCGACUUGAUUACUCCCAAUUCUUGAGCGUGCUACAAUGUUUUACAAAUGAUGGCAGCUCGUUGGAGUGAUGGUUAACCGGAAUUGUUUCGACAUGAUUUCAACUCAAAGCUAAAAGAAGGGCUCUGUGCUGACCUCGAAAACGAAUUGCAGCAGAAUCAAGCCUCGAAUUUCUGGUUGCCGCAAAUUCAUUCGCGAUUCAAUGGCCAUUGGCAACACAAGUGCCAGUAAAAAUAUGAACGUGGACAAAGCAAUUGAUCCAAUUCCGGAGCAUCCUAAGUUGAGCGAUCAGUUGAUGACUCGAGAUCGAACUUGUGUGUGUGUUUGGAGCCUUUCACUGAUCAGGGGACGCCGCAAGGCGUCCUGUGAGCUGUACAAAGCGGUAGACUCCUUCCGGAUUGGUCUGUAGGUAGGUGAUAUCGUCGUUUUCUCCUAUCGUCUCCUUUCUAUCUUCGGACCAGGCUUUGCAUCUUAUCAAAAAGUGCUCGGAAGACUCUUCUUCUUCUCCGCAGUACUCGCAUAACGGAUCAUCUGUGUAUCUGAACCGAUUCUGAGUCUGAAGAUCGAAUUUCGCAGCCUUGAUUGUUCAGAUCUAAGAUGUUAUUGCAAAUCAUCGUGGAACUGGUUUGUGACGACGCUACAUCAACGGGGUAGUUGCGGAAAUGUUGAAUUCGCCGAACUCUUCCAGAAAUGGAGUAAAAUGGACCCAAUAGAGUGAACAAAUUAGUCAACAGUUUUCCGAGCGGUAUUUAUAAUGCCACGACUUGCUCGAAUGCAAACUUGACAAUAAUUCAUAAACCUGAAACAUAAUAAAUCCGACAUUUAAAAAGUUUAUGUUAUCAAGCAUUGACAAAAUUGGAUAUAAGUCGAAUAUAAUGUAUAUAAUAAUACAAGGAAACACAUGUAAUCUGUAUAAUAUGUGCUAAAAAAUAAAAAGAAACCCCUUUUUUGUUGUUUUGUUUGUUGUAAAAUAUGUGCUAAGUGAUUCUAUAGCUAAAAAGACUUCUUUUAAAAUUGAUUGAAAUAAAAAUAAAUCGCUUUUUGUUGUCUUAUUUGUUGAAGAUUAUGUGCUAAGUGAUUCUACUGCUAAAAAGAUUUCUUUUAAAAUUGAUUGAAUUAAGAAGAAACCGCUUUUUUCUUGUCUUAUUGAUCAUAUUUUUCAAGUUUGUAAUGAUGUUCGCACUUUUUGCCCCAAACACAUUUCGCCUAUCAAAUUGCCAACUAGGAAACCGGCGAUUAAUUAAUUAAGUAAUAAGUUAGGGGGAAAAUAUGCGCGGACAAAAUGUGUGAAAUUAUGACGGGUUCAACAGUGCCGAAAAUGAAAACUUUGUUCAACAGUGCCGAAAAUUUGAACAAAUUUUAACAUAUUAAUUGCGACAAACAAAAAUUAAACGGCGAACGUUUACAAUCUUAA